rnacentral:lncRNA from 1 species
GCGGCGGCCCGGGCGGGGUCGGCGCCGAGGUGAGUGCGGGGGCGCGGGGCUGCGGGGCGCGGGGCUGCGGGGCGCUCCCGGCGGCGGGGGCUGGCGGCGCGGGGCUUUAGCUAGCGCGCCCAGGUGCGGCGGAACCCCCGCCCUCCACCUGCGCCGCCUCUGCGUGUCUCUGGCAAGUUUGGGGACCCCGCUCGUGCCGACAGCCUCGGCGGCGCCGCGGAGCCCAGACCUUGCGGUCGAUCGAAAACUCGAGCUGCGCGGAGGAGGAAGCGCCCUGGCUCCGGGGCCCGGGGCCCGGGGGUCUUCGCGGGCGGGGGCGACCUCUGGGCCCGCCCUCUCGGCCUUUCCCACGCAGGUUUCCACGACUGAAUUAUCUACUAGGGCAAAUGAUCACCAAUGGCAGUACAACUUGUUUUCUGGGGCUCUGGGUGAGUUUAUGUGGACUUACUUGAUUAUUUUUCCAUUUGACUAGUCCAUAAUUACCUCUU